CAGUAGCCGCGGUAAUACGUAGGGUGCGAGCGUUAAUCGGAAUUACUGGGCGUAAAGCGUGCGCAGGCGGUUUUGUAAGACAGGCGUGAAAUCCCCGGGCUCAACCUGGGAAUGGCGCUUGUGACUGCAAAGCUAGAGUGCGGCAGAGGGGGAUGGAAUUCCGCGUGUAGCAGUGAGAUGCGUAGAUAUGCGGAGGAACACCGAUGGCGAAGGCAAUCCCCUGGGCCUGCACUGACGCUCAUGCACGAAAGCGUGGGGAGCAAACAGGAUUAGAUACCCGUGUAGUCCCUGUCUCUUAUAC
rnacentral:rRNA from 1 species